UUUAGCAUUUUUCUCUCACUCCAUUUCCAACAACGGGUCUUUAUCCUCGUGGUGAAAUUAGAUUUCAACUUUAUUUUAAAUUCAAAACUUUCCAUUGGAGAUAAAGUGAACUGAGAGAGAACUACACAAAAAAAACUUAUAUACAUUCUUUUAAAUUUCACAAAGCAAAUGUAUGACUUUGUUUAGGCAUCACUUAAACGAACAUUCCUAGAACUAAAACAACGGUUUGAAUCUUACGUUUUAGAGGUCGAGUCCACCUAAACUCAUUUGUUGAUCAAUUUUUCUCUAAGCGGCCGUUGAUCAAUUUGCCGGCACCGAACGGUUACAACGCGUCGGCGUUAUUACAGUUAUCAUAUUGAUCGCAGAAUUUUCAGGUUUAGACGAUGUCCGAAGAAGAGAAACAAGUGAAACCGUAUUCCGAGGCGUCAACGACUUCCUCGGUUGAAAUUCAGAAUUGGAUAGAAGCGCAAGAUUUGCUGAAGAAGAAACUGAUCAAAGAAGAUGAUUUGGAAGGGAACGGGGAUGAUUUGAAGUACGUCGGCGGCGUUGAUAUAAGCUUCUUAAAGGAAGAUUCGUCAGUUGCGUGUGGUACGCUCGUGGUUAUGGAUCUUCAAACUCUUCAAGUUGUCUAUGAUGAUUUCUCUCUUGCUACUGUUCAAGUUCCUUAUGUCCCUGGCUUUCUCGCAUUUAGAGAGGCCCCAGUUCUCUUGGAGCUUUUGGAAAGGAUGAAAAAGAGAGCUCCUCUUUUGUAUCCACAGUUAUUGAUGGUUGAUGGCAACGGAAUACUCCAUCCUCGAGGUUUUGGUUUGGCCAGUCAUCUCGGCGUUCUUGCUAAUUUGCCUACAAUUGGAAUUGGCAAGAAUCUGCAUCAUGUUGAUGGUCUUACCCAGUCCAGCGUGAGGCAACUUCUUUCCGACGGCAAAAAUAACGAUUCUAUAAUAACUUUGAAGGGCAUCUCUGGAUGCAUUUGGGGCUAUGAGAUCUACUGUUGAUUCAUUGAAGCCUAUAUAUGUUUCAAUUGGUCAUCGUGUUUCGCUUGAUACUGCCAUCAGGAUUGUUAAAAUCACUUGCACAUUUCGUGUUCCAGAACCUAUCCGACAGGCUGACAUUAGAUCAAGAGAAUACCUCAGGAAAUUUCAAAUGGGAAUGUUAAAAAGAACAACUUCAUAGCAAAGGUGAUUGCCUAAUUGGUGUUGUCUUUGAUUGAACCCAUCAGAUCAGAUACAAAGACUCACCAAAUUGCUGCAAGAAAGGUGGAGCAGAUGAAAACAUUGAAAGCUGCUCUCGGGUUGGGCACAUUGGACGAUAGUAAACAGGUUAAAGAAGAGAUUUCUGACAUGAAUGAGUUAACAAUUGCUUGAACUACAAAAGCCAUCAACCAGGAUGUAGGAAGGGACAAUGAAUGAAAUGCCCCUCUCCUGUAAGUCGAGCUGCUUCGCCCCUAUAUUCUAAUCUUUAUCUUGUGCAUGCACCGAUUGAAAGACAGAUGAUUCUACUUCCUUUGUUUGGGGGAAAAAGAUGAUGACCUGCCAGCGGACUGGACUUCUGGUCGAGCAGCCGAUUAAGAUUCGCGCCAAAACGUCUUCCUUUUGAUCUUCUGCCUUCGUGUAUGUUCCCACUCAUAGGUAAGGAAUUCCACUUGUCUUCUUUUCUUUCCUCCCGGUAGUCUUUGUAUUAAUUUCAUAUGUGAAACAAAUCUUCCUUACUUUCUUCAGCGAAACCUCGGCUUUCUCUUUCUUCCUUUUAGUAGGCGUAGUCGGCUCUCAAUUACGUCUUUUAGCCACUUUUCUUAUCAAUGAGAGGAAUAGAAGAGAGGACCAGAAUGCCAUGAGAAGUCUGAAUACUCUUUUUUGGAAGAUAAUUUAAUUGAAAAAAAACAUGGCGUUGAAAAAAAAUAACAUUUUCCCACACGGGUUCUGUUGAGAGUAAAGGAACCAAGAAGAAGCGCUUGAUUGCCGAUCAUCCUCUUUCAACCAAGUGGGAAUAGGAGAUUAAGUAUAAUGCUUAGCUUAGACAGGUUUCUUUGUACUCUUUCAUCCUAGUGAUGGUGGAACUGAGAAUGAAGAUCGAACUCUCAGUCUGAUUCAAGAUCUUCUCUUUUGAUUGUCAUCCUUUGAUUUGAAUGACCAAUCGAUGAACUGAAUUCAUAUGGCUAGUAUGUAUUCUUUCCAUCAGUAGUCUGCGUGCAAGAUAGAAGAGUUGGCCGAGCAGUAGAGGCCUCACCCUCUUCAUGCGGAUCAACAGGACCAUAAUCUACAUCGAGGUUGACCCGACUAACCUUUUGAGUUUUAGAGAUUAAUUUUGUAAUUAAUUAAAAACUAUAGUAAACGACAAACUCAUUGACUUAUAGUUGAUGUAAAGAAUAUCAUGCAGUGAUACAAUUUCGUAUUCUUUUGAUGAAACAUUUCAAGGUAUUAGGUUAAAUUUUUGAAGUGUAUAGUUUGAUUCUUCA